AAAUUUGGAAGAAAGUUAAAUGACAGAAAUUGGUUUCAUUUCCUGCUUUCAAGUGUCAGGGCCACAGGGCCCUACCCCUGUACAGUUUAUUGUGGUCUCAGACUGCAGUGGUAACUCUCUAUUUGAAAUGGCCAUCAUGAGAAUCUCUCAAACACCUGAAUUGGCUGGAAUCACUUAUUUCUUCCCAAAGAAUAAUGGUGUCUGGGGUGGCCUUUGCUCUACAGGGGACAGCCCAAGGCUCAGGCAGGAGCUGCAAAGUCCAGAGGCUGAGGCUGAGGGACAGAGUGGACCUCCAGAAUCCAUGCACUGAGCUAAGGAAGGAAGAGAGUGCUUACACCAAGUCUCUCAGCUAUGACACAAGAAGGAGAGGCACUGUUCACAAGCCCACUCUUCUGGGGCUCCCCUUAGGAAUGGAAGCCUUCCUCUUAUGAACCCCAAUGGGAGCCUCCUCUGACCUCUCCGUAUAGUUACUAUUCACCAGAUAUCCAUGUGCUAUGUGGACAAAAGACAAGCAAGGGCAAAUUUCACUUCUGCUUCUUACCAGUUAGUUACAUAGCUCUGAACAAGUCAGAAGAUAACCGAAGAACUGACCAGGGGCUCCAUCAAGACUAACAGGGCUGCUAUAUGCAGGCAUGGGCACAGGUCCGCAGUUACUUUAAUUGUGGGCAUUAUUUAUCCUGUUUGUUCCAAAUUCAGGAGCAAUGCUCCAAAUGACCUCAGGGGCUAUCCUGAAUGCAUCUAGGGAUAAGCAUGUUGGGGGAAUUGGUCAUCCCUGCAGCUCUGCCUGGGCUCAGGCCAGAGCCAAGGUAGUGAGGGUGGGCAUGCAAGUGGGAGUGGGGGCUGCCAUGGGCUAGUAGCUGUGGGAGUGGGGACCUGGCUUCACGUCCCCCCACGUGGGAGGUUGCCUGGAUCUCAGGCAGUCCUGCCUUUCUGGUUAGGGCUUCCCAACUUUUGCGGCUGUCCUCAGGGGAAAGCUAUUUUAGGUAGCAGUCAAAAUAAAACUGAGAUUAACCCAGAAUUCUUGGCAGUCGAACAAUACCAUAAUUAUGCGCUUUUUAAGUUCAGAAAUGAGGCAUCUGGCACUGACCCGCCAGGGUUUGAGGGGCGCCUUGAGGAUAAUAAGGCCUGCGUCUUGGGCUCUGUCACCUUUACACAUUCUUAGCCUUGGGCAGCUACCA
rnacentral:lncRNA from 1 species